rnacentral:rRNA from 1 species
AUUGAACGCUGGCGGCAUGCCUUACACAUGCAAGUCGAACGGUAACAGAUCUUCGGAUGCUGACGAGUGGCGAACGGGUGAGUAAUACAUCGGAACGUGCCUAGUAGUGGGGGAUAACUACUCGAAAGAGUGGCUAAUACCGCAUGAGAUCUACGGAUGAAAGCAGGGGAUUGCAAAACCUUGUGCUACUAGAGCGGCCGAUGGCAGAUUAGGUAGUUGGUGGGAUAAAAGUUUACCAAGCCGACGAUCUGUAGCUGGUCUGAGAGGACGAUCAGCCACACUGGGACUGAGACACGGCCCAGACUCCUACGGGAGGCAGCAGUGGGGAAUUUUGGACAAUGGGCGCAAGCCUGAUCCAGCAAUGCCGCGUGCAGGAUGAAGGCCUUCGGGUUGUAAACUGCUUUUGUACGGAACGAAAAGCCCUGGGUUAAUACCCUGGGGUCAUGACGGUACCGUAAGAAUAAGCACCGGCUAACUACGUGCCAGCAGCCGCCGUAAUAC